rnacentral:rRNA from 1 species
CAGCCGCCGCGGUAAUACGUAGGGUGCAAGCGUUAAUCGGAAUUACUGGGCGUAAAGCGUGCGCAGGCGGUUCGCUAAGACAGAUGUGAAAUCCCCGAGCUUAACUUGGGAACUGCAUUUGAAACUGGCAAGCUAGAGUCUUGUAGAGGGGGGUAGAAUUCCAGGUGUAGCGGUGAAAUGCGUAGAGAUCUGGAGGAAUACCGGUGGCGAAGGCGGCCCCCUGGACAAAGACUGACGCUCAGGUGCGAAAGCGUGGGGAGCAAACAGGAUUAGAGACCCCGGUAGUCCCUGUCUCUUAUAC